rnacentral:rRNA from 1 species
GACGUAGGGGCCGAGCGUUGUCCGGAGUUACUGGGCGUAAAGGGCGCGCAGGCGGUUGGUCACAUCGGCGGUGAAAGCCCCCCGCUCAACGGGGGAGGGUCCGUCGAGAUGGGCCGACUGGAGGCAGGGAGAGGGCGGUGGAAUUCCGGGUGUAGUGGUGAAAUGCGUAGAGAUCCGGAGGAACACCAAAGGCGAAGGCAGUGUCCUGGGGAGUACCUGACGCUCAGGUGCGAAAGCCAGGGGAGCGGAACGGG